AGUGUCGGCUUUGGAUUCGAAGUUCGAAGUACAUGGAGUCGGUCAUACUGUAUUGACUAUUCACGGUCAAUUUAAUAAAUUUAUUUUAAAAUUUUAUCUAAUUAUAUAACUUUUUUUAUUUUUAUUUUUUAUGUUUUUUCCGGUCUAAAAUCUAAAUCCAUUUAGACAAUGAAUUUUAAUUUAAAAAUACUGAAUUAAAUCUAAGCGACGGUUUGGUUGAACUCUAUAACACCACCGCUACACUACGCACAAGGAGCAAAGGGCUUUGCAAGUCAAAGUCAAGGUGCAGAGAUACAGAGGAAAAGUAAGAAAAGAUAGAUAGGAAUUAAAAGGAUCACGAUGGUUCCCACAUCAAAGGGCUACUGAUAAACUUCAUUCAUUCGUUGUGGUCGUCACUGCUAAAAGUUCCAUAUUUCAUGGUUGAAUUUACCACUCCCAUAAUAAGGGAUAGCUUUUCAUUCUAAUGGGACAAUAUUGUCCUCUUAUUCCAUGCCCGAGUAUGAACCACAGAGAGAAAAGUUGGGGAAUAAUGCAAAUGGUUGGAAGAUAAAGUACUAUAAGGGUUUGGGUACAAGUACUCCUCAUGAAGGGAGAGAGUGCUUUUGAGAUCAUGUUAAGCAUAAAAAAGACUUUGUUUGGGAUGAUGAGCAAGAUGGAACUGCAAUUGAGAUGAGAUUCAGAUAGAAAAAAACUGAAGAUAGGAAGAUCUGGAUUUGUAAUUUUGAGGUGUGAAGUGUUUACCAAUCUAGAAUAUUUUACAUUUUGAUUGAUAGAUGUGAAAUUUUGGGAGAAUCUGCUCAGAAAAAUCUGCCCCAGUUCUUGCAGCCUGGUAAUCAUGGUGAUAAUAUGGACAGAUAUAAACCACAGGGAUUUUGUCAAUAUAGAGCUUAUAUUGUUCUCCAAGGCAGAUCUUCAAAGGUUCAUUCCCUCUCUGGUUGAUGGCCUCAAACCUGGUCAAAGGAAGAUUCUUUUCUGCUCAUUUAAGUUGUUUAAAGAAAUAAAAGUAGGCCAGUUUUUUGGUUGUGUCUGAGCCCUCUGCUUACCACCAUGGUGAGCAAAGUCUAGCCAGCACAAUUAUUAACAUGGGGCAUGAUUUUGUGUAUAGCAACAAUAUCAAUAUCCUUAAACCAAAUGGUCAAUUUGGUACUUGUAAUCUGGGUGUGAAGGAUCAUGCUAGUGCUAGAUACAUGUACACUGAACUAAACACUUUUACCCGGUGCAUCUUCCAUGAAUACUUGAAUGAAGAUGGGAAGUCGAUUGAGCCCAACUGGUAUUUGGUUUACACCUUGUUUAUAAAAGACUCUUUAGUUUAUGAUUAGUAACAUGAAUGGGGCAACAUCCUUAUGUACUUUUUAUAUUAGUUAUUUUUCAAUAAUUUUAACUCUUGUUAAAUUGAAUAAAUUAGUUAAAGAUGCCUAUAACCUAAAAACUAUAGUGGUAUAACUUACACUAGCUAUUAGCUUACAACCAUAAAAAUGUUAUAAUAAACUAGUUGCUUAAAUAUGUUUUUAAUCUCUCGAAUUUAAGGUAAAUUUGUUUUUACUUCCUUAAAUUUAAAACUGAAUUUUUUACUCCCUGUAAUUUGAAAAUAUCUCAUUUUAGUUCUUAUUCUCAAUUGUUUUUAGGGAAAUUGUUAAAUAUUAUUGCACAAAAACUUACUACUAUUUCUGUUGGUGAAAACAUAACAUUAAACUCGGUUGAUGCUGUAUAACUCUCAAUUUGUCACUUUCAGAUGUAUUACUGGUGACAUGAAAGAAUAAAACAAGAUUUUUGAAAAUUACAGAAACUAAAACAAAUAAUAUUAAAUGUAAGAGAUCAAAAACAAAUUUAUCUUAAGUUUGAGAGACUAAAAACAUACUUAAGUCUGAACUAGUUUAUAAGGCUCUUUUAAUUUGGUCCAACAAAUUUCAAUUAUAAUUUAGCUUAAACGUCAUCCCAAAUAUAUUUGCAGCAAUUACUGAAGAUAAAAAACAAAAACACUUGGUUCCAGCCAAUAAUGCCUUAUAUACAUUUGGGGUAUAAUAGUGUAUACCAAAUUUCUAGUUAGCGUGUUGAUAGCUUAUGCUGGAUAGUUGUAACAAAAAAAAGUGCAGAAUAUAAUGUCCCAAAAAAAUAUCAAGAAAGAUGAAGUUUAGAUCAAUCAUUCAUAUAAUCUAUUUUCAUGCUACGGGCAUCAACAUAAAAAUUUCCUUAAAAUAAACCCCAAAAAGUAUUCAGUGAAUCUUUAUAUAUAAAACCUCUUUAGCUGAUCAAAUUUGUUGUGUUGUGAUCAACUAUAUCUUUGGAGAAAUUUGGGUUAGUAGAAUCUCUUGCAAAUGCUGAAUCUUCAAGUAACCAAGUUAGGAUGUCGGUAUACUCUUGAUCAUAAAUUAAGUCACCAGAUUGUGAACCAUAGGGAACUAGUGCAUCUGACCCUUCUGCAGAAAAAGAUCUCAUAUCACCACUUGUGAAACCUAAGUUGUUUGCAUCAAUAGUUUGAGGUGAUAUUAAAUCAUUAUUAAUAUUCUGGGUGGCAAAAGAUGGCUGAAUAUUGAUAGGACUAAUUUGAUGAUGCAUCAUUGUCUUCUGCUGCUGCUGCUGCGAUGUAUCCUUGACCACUCCAUAUAUAGAUGGAUCCAUGAUUGGCUGAGAGAAAUUGUUGACAAUGGCAAUGUUAGAAGGAUGACCAUGUGUCACACCUUGUUCUUGAUUGGAACGGUUAGCCUCUUUUUCUGUAUCAAGGGUUGUCAAUGUGUUAUAGGAAACAUCGUUAGGAGCAGCCAAAGAUUGGAAGUCCACUCUCACAAGUGCACCAGAUUCUGUGUUUGGCAUUGCCAUCUCAUUAGAUGUACUCUUUACCUCAUUCUGUUGCUGUGUUGCUCCAUUAGAUGUACUCUUCAUCUCAUGCUGUUGCUGUAUUGCUCCAUUUGAUGUACUCUUCAUCUCAUUCGGUUGCUGUGUUGCUCCAUUCGAUGUACUCUUCAUCUCAUUCGGUUGCUGUGUUGCUCCAUUAGAUGUACUCUUCAUCUCAUUCUGUUGCUGUGUUGCUCCAUUAGAUGUACUCUUCAUCUCAUUCUGUUGCUGUGUUGCUCCAUUAGAUGUAUUCUUCAUCUCAUUCUGUUGCUGUGUUGCCCCAUUAGAUGUACUCUUCAUAUGACGCUUAUAUUUCUGCAGUCAAUAUUGCAGUUACAAUGCCAAUAAAUUUAAGAGAAA